rnacentral:rRNA from 1 species
GGACGGGUGAGUAACACGUACGGUAACCUGCCCAGAAGCGGGGGACAACAUUUGGAAACAGAUGCUAAUACCGCAUAACAACGUUGUUCGCAUGAACAACGCUUAAAAGAUGGCUUCUCGCUAUCACUUCUGGAUGGACCUGCGGUGCAUUAGCUUGUUGGUGGGGUAACGGCCUACCAAGGCGAUGAUGCAUAGCCGAGUUGAGAGACUGAUCGGCCACAAUGGGACUGAGACACGGCCCAUACUCCUACGGGAGGCAGCAGUAGGGAAUCUUCCACAAUGGGCGCAAGCCUGAUGGAGCAACACCGCGUGAGUGAAGAAGGGUUUCAGCUCGUAAAGCUCUGUUGUUUUAAAAGAACACGUAUGAGAGUAACCGUUCAUACUUUGUCGGUACUUAACCAGUAAUUCAGAGAGGGCUAC